GGAUUUUCUUCAGGAACCUCCUUGUGGCUCUGCCAUGGCGGGGAGGGUUGGGGGUAAGAAAUAUAAGACCCAAUUCCCUGUGGAGGCGGGGAUUCGGUGAAACCAAUCCCUUGAAUGUGGGGUGGAACCAACAUGUAACUCAAUUUGCUUUGGCUCUCACUGUGCAUUUGAGCUAAAGCAAGGGAAGCAUUUCCCCUUCCCCUGGCUGAAAGCUCAGCUGACCCCGAGGCUCUUCUGGUCAUGCUUAGAGUGGGCCCUACAUCCAAUGACUGGUGUUCUCAUAAGGAGAGAGAGACAAAGAGUAGACAGACACAAGGGAGAAGGCCGUGUGAAGAUGGAGACAGAGAUUGGAAUGAUACAGCCACAAGCCAAGAAACAUCUGCGGCCGUCAGAAGUUGGAAGAGGCAAGGAAUGAUUUAUUCUUUCCCACUCAUUGUUUCACCAAUGAGCACCUUCCAUGUGCCACCGUUCUGACCCUGCUGACAAUGUGGUUUCAGACUUCUGGCCCCCAGAACUGUGAAAGAGUAAAUUUCUGUUAAGUUAUCUUGCUUGUGGUACUUUGUUACAGCAGCCCUGUGGAUCUAAUAUAGUCAUAAGAGACAUUGUGACCUCCUCCCUGCUCUCUUGAACCACUCAUUCUGGGAGAAGUCAGCUGCCAUGUCAUGAAGCUACUCAGGGAGGUCCAUGGAGAGGUCCACAUGGCAAGGAACUGAGGCCUCCUGCCAGUAGCCAGCACCAUCUUGCUGGCCAUGUGAGCGUGCCAUCUUAGAUGCAGAUCAUACGGCCCCAGUCAAGCCUUCAAAUGACUGCAUCCCUACUUGACAUUUUGACUGUAACCUCAUGACAAACCCUAAGCCAGAACACCAGCUAAGCCACUCCCCAAUUCCUCAUCAAGAGAAACUGAGAUAAUAAAUGUUUAUUAUUGUUUUAAGCUACUAAAUUUUGAGGUAAUCUGUUAUGUAGCAAUAGAUAACUAAUACUGAUAUCUGUCAUAUUGGGGCCUCAGUGUAACUUGGAACAGAAAGAGUUCCAUAUUAU
rnacentral:lncRNA from 1 species